rnacentral:sRNA from 1 species
GAGGAGUUCGAUAACACGUGCUGCGCAGAGAAGAGGAAAAAACUCUGGGACCUACUGGAGAAGCCCAAUUCCUCUGUGGCUGCCAAGGAGAAAACAGAUUUUCAGUUCUUGUCUGAGGUCACUCAGUAAGGGAAGCUGAAGAAGAUGUGGAAGGAGCCCCCCACGGUGGCUG